GGGGGCGACAUGGUUUCGACGGGUGUCAUGAAGCACAUGCUGCGAUCCGCGGAUUUCUGUCUCCGCGUCAAAAAGGCCGAGACUCAAUAAUUGCCAACAACAGCAAUUACGCUCUGGCUGCUUAAGACGGCCAGUGUCCUACCGGGGAGUACCUGCGUACCCGGCCGGGGCAUCAAAUCAGCAGGAAAGCCACUUGUGACCUGUUCGCGGUUGCAAGGGUGAUAGUAGCGAAACCGCCCGUGGGCACACCCUGUCUGU
rnacentral:tmRNA from 1 species